AUCGCUUCUCGGCCUUUUGGCUAAGAUCAUGUGUAGUAUCUGUUCUUAUCAGUUUAAUAUCUGAUACGUCCUCUAUCCGAGGACAAUAUAUUAUUUGAACUCUGUGGGAGAAUGUGAGGGUGGGAUAUUUCAAAAGAACAGCAUGUAUACUAUCUAUGGUGAAACAGAUCACCAGCCCAGGUGGGAUGCAUG